rnacentral:rRNA from 1 species
AGAGUUUGAUCCUGGCUCAGGAUGAACGCUGGCGGUAUGCCUUACACAUGCAAGUCGAACGGGAAUUAGCUUCGGUUAAUUCUAGUGGCGGACGGGUGAGUAACACGUGAGAAUUCGCCUUUAGGAGGGGGAUAACGAAUGGAAACAUUCGCUAAAACCCCAUAUGCCCCUGGGUGAAACAGAGGAUAUCAGUUAAACUAACUAACCUCUGCCUGAAGAGAAGCUCGCGGCUGAUUAGCUAGUUGGUAGGGUAAUGGCCUACCAAGGCGACGAUCAGUAGCUGGUCUGAGAGGACGAUCAGCCACACUGGAACUGAGACACGGUCCAGACUCCUACGGGAGGCAGCAGUGAGGAAUUUUCUGCAAUGGGCGAAAGCCUGACAGAGCAAUACCGCGUGAGGGAUGAAGACUUACUGAGUUGUAAACCUCGGUACCUUAAGGAAGAAGAUAUGACGGUACUUAAGGUGGAAAGCAUCGGCUAACUCCGUGCCAGCAGCCGCGGUAAGACGGGGGAUGCAAGUGUUAUCCGGAUUUACUGGGCGUAAAGCGUCUGCAGGUGGUUUCUUAAGUCUACUGUUAAAUCUUGAGGCUCAACCUCAAAUCUGCAGUAGAAACUAGGAGACUUGAGUAUAGUAGGGGUAGAGGGAAUUUCCAGUGUAGCGGUGAAAUGCGUAGA